AUUGAACGCUGGCGGCAGGCUUAGCACAUGCAAGUCGAGCGGGGUGAUGGUGCUUGCACUAUCACUUAGCGGCGGGCGGGUGAGUAAUGCUUAGGAAUCUGCCUAUUAGUGGGGGACAACAUCUCGAAAGGGAUGCUAAUACCGCAUACGUCCUACGGGAGAAAGCAGGGGAUCACUUGUGACCUUGCGCUAAUAGAUGAGCCUAAGUCGGAUUAGCUAGUUGGUGGGGUAAAGGCCUACCAAGGCGACGAUCUGUAGCGGGUCUGAGAGGAGGAGCCGCCACACUGGGACUGAGACACGGCCCAGACUCCUACGGGAGGCAGCAGUGGGGAAUAUUGGACAAUGGGGGGAACCCUGAUCCAGCCAUGCCGCGUGUGUGAAGAAGGCCUUAUGGUUGUAAAGCACUUUAAGCGAGGAGGAGGCUCUUUUGGUUAAUACCCAAGAUGAGUGGACGUUACUCGCAGAAUAAGCACCGGCUAACUCUGUGCCAGCAGCCGCGGUAA
rnacentral:rRNA from 1 species